rnacentral:rRNA from 1 species
AAAUUGAAGAGUUUGAUCAUGGCUCAGAUUGAACGCUGGCGGCAGGCCUAACACAUGCAAGUCGAACGGUAACAGGAAGCAGCUUGCUGCUUUGCUGACGAGUGGCGGACGGGUGAGUAAUGUCUGGGAAACUGCCUGAUGGAGGGGGAUAACUACUGGAAACGGUGGCUAAUACCGCAUAACGUCGCAAGAUCAAAGAGGGGGACCUUCGGGCCUCUUGCCAUCAGAUGUGCCCAGAUGGGAUUAGCUUGUUGGUGAGGUAACGGCUCACCAAGGCGACGAUCCCUAGCUGGUCUGAGAGGAUGACCAGCCACACUGGAACUGAGACACGGUCCAGACUCCUACGGGAGGCAGCAGUGGGGAAUAUUGCACAAUGGGCGCAAGCCUGAUGCAGCCAUGCCGCGUGUAUGAAGAAGGCCUUCGGGUUGUAAAGUACUUUCAGCGGGGAGGAAGGUGUUG